rnacentral:rRNA from 1 species
GACGAACGCUGGCGGCGUGCUUAACACAUGCAAGUCGAACGGAAAGGCCCUGCUUUUGUGGGGUGCUCGAGUGGCGAACGGGUGAGUAACACGUGAGUAACCUGCCCUUGACUUUGGGAUAACUUCAGGAAACUGGGGCUAAUACCGGAUAGGAGCUCCUGCUGCAUGUUGGGGGUUGGAGAGUUUCGGCGGUUGGGGAUGGACUCGCGGCUUAUCAGCUUGUUGGUGGGGUAGUGGCUUACCAAGGCUUUGACGGGUAGCCGGCCUGAGAGGGUGACCGGCCACAUUGGGACUGAGAUACGGCCCAGACUCCUACGGGAGGCAGCAGUGGGGAAUAUUGCACAAUGGGCGGAAGCCUGAUGCAGCAACGCCGCGUGCGGGAUGACGGCCUUCGGGUUGUAAACCGCUUUCGCCUGUGACGAAGCGUGAGUGACGGUAAUGGGUAAAGAAGCACCGGCUAACUACGUG